UAAAUUGUUUCAUAUCUGGUCAAGUUGAGA
rnacentral:piRNA from 2 species